rnacentral:rRNA from 1 species
AUGGGUGGGUUGGGAUUUAGGGAUACUGAGCUAUUCAACCUUGCUAUGCUGGCAAAACAAGGAUGGAUGAUACUUCAGGAGCCUGGCUCGCUAAGUGCAAGAAUUCUAAAGGCAAAGUACUUCCCGUCAGUUGAUUUAUUUAGCGCAAAACUUGGAUCACAUCCAUCACAAGUAAGGAGAGCAGUACAUGCAGGUUUGGAAGUUUUAAAGCAGGGGCUUAUUCGAGGGAUUGGUAACGGUCUAACGGAGAGUCCACUUCUGUGUGGAACCAACACUAGUAGAAAAAGGGCCUGUUGUCCCGGUUCCUGA